rnacentral:rRNA from 1 species
GACGAACGCUGGCGGCGUGCUUAACACAUGCAAGUCGAACGGAAAGGCCCUGCUUUUGUGGGGUGCUCGAGUGGCGAACGGGUGAGUAACACGUGAGUAACCUGCCCUUGACUUUGGGAUAACUUCAGGAAACUGGGGCUAAUACCGGAUAGGAGCUCCUGCUGCAUGGUGGGGGUUGGAAAGUUUCGGCGGUUGGGGAUGGACUCGCGGGUUAUCAGCUUGUUGGUGGAGUAGUGGCUUACAAGGGCUUUGACGGGUAGCCGGCCUGGGAGGGUGACCGGCCACCUUGGGACUGAGGUACGGCCCAGUCUCCUACGGGAGGCAGCAGGCGAGAACAUUGCACAAUGGGCGGAAGCCAGAUGCAGCAACGCCGCGUGCGGGAUGACGGCCUUCGGGGUGUAAACCGAUUUCGCCUGUGACGAAGAGUGAGUGACGGUAAUGGGUAAAGAAGCACCGGCUAACUACGUG